rnacentral:rRNA from 1 species
UACAAGCAGUGGGAGCACAGGUUUACCUGUGUGACUGCGUACCUUUUGUAUAAUGGGUCAGCGACUUAUAUUCUGUAGCAAGGUUAACCGAAUAGGGGAGCCGGAGGGAAACCGAGUCUUAAUUGGGCGUUAAGUUGCAGGGUAUAGACCCGAAACCCGGUGAUCUAGCCAUGGGCAGGUUGAAGGUUGGGUAACACUAACUGGAGGACCGAACCGACUAAUGUUGAAAAAUUAGCGGAUGACCUGUGGCUGGGGGUGAAAGGCCAAUCAAACCGGGAGAUAGCUGGUUCUCCCCGAAAGCUAUUUAGGUAGCGCCUCGUGAAUUCAUCUCCGGGGGUAGAGCACUGUUUCGGCUAGGGGGCCAUCCCGGCUUACCAACCCGAUGCAAACUGCGAAUACCGGAGAAUGUUAUCACGGGAGACACACGGCGGGUGCUAACGUCCGUCGUGAAGAGGGAAACAACCCAGACCGCCAGCUAAGGUCCCAAAGUCAUGGUUAAGUGGGAAACGAUGUGGGAAGGCCCAGACAGCCAGGAUGUUGGCUUAGAAGCAGCCAUCAUUUAAAGAAAGCGUAAUAGCUCACUGGUCGAGUCGGCCUGCGCGGAAGAUGUAACGGGGCUAAACCAUGCACCGAAGCUGCGGCAGCGACACUGUGUGUUGUUGGGUAGGGGAGCGUUCUGUAAGCCUGUGAAGGUGUGUCGUGAGGCAUGCUGGAGGUAUCAGAAGUGCGAAUGCUGACAUAAGUAACGAUAAAGCGGGUGAAAAGCCCGCUCGCCGGAAGACCAAGGGUUCCUGUCCAACGUUAAUCGGGGCAGGGUGAGUCGACCCCUAAGGCGAGGCCGAAAGGCGUAGUCGAUGGGAAACGGGUUAAUAUUCCCGUACUUGGUGUUACUGCGAAGGGGGGACGGAGAAGGCUAUGUUGGCCGGGCGACGGUUGUCCCGGUUUAAGCGUGUAGGUGUGUGUUCCAGGUAAAUCCGGUUCACUUUAACACUGAGGCGUGACGACGAGGCACUACGGUGCUGAAGCAACAAAUGCCCUGCUUCCAGGAAAAGCCUCUAAGCAUCAGGUAACAUCAAAUCGUACCCCAAACCGACACAGGUGGUCAGGUAGAGAAUACCAAGGCGCUUGAGAGAACUCGGGUGAAGGAACUAGGCAAAAUGGUGCCGUAACUUCGGGAGAAGGCACGCUGACACGUAGGUGAAGUGAUUUACUCAUGGAGCUGAAGUCAGUCGAAGAUACCAGCUGGCUGCAACUGUUUAUUAAAAACACAGCACUGUGCAAACACGAAAGUGGACGUAUACGGUGUGACGCCUGCCCGGUGCCGGAAGGUUAAUUGAUGGGGUCAGCGCAAGCGAAGCUCCUGAUCGAAGCCCCGGUAAACGGCGGCCGUAACUAUAACGGUCCUAAGGUAGCGAAAUUCCUUGUCGGGUAAGUUCCGACCUGCACGAAUGGCGUAAUGAUGGCCAGGCUGUCUCCACCCGAGACUCAGUGAAAUUGAACUCGCUGUGAAGAUGCAGUGUACCCGCGGCAAGACGGAAAGACCCCGUGAACCUUUACUAUAGCUUGACACUGAACAUUGAGCCUUGAUGUGUAGGAUAGGUGGGAGGCUUUGAAGUGUGGACGCCAGUCUGCAUGGAGCCGACCUUGAAAUACCACCCUUUAAUGUUUGAUGUUCUAACGUGGACCCGUUACCCGGGUUGCGGACAGUGUCUGGUGGGUAGUUUGACUGGGGCGGUCUCCUCCUAAAGAGUAACGGAGGAGCACGAAGGUUGGCUAAUCCUGGUCGGACAUCAGGAGGUUAGUGCAAUGGCAUAAGCCAGCUUGACUGCGAGCGUGACGGCGCGAGCAGGUGCGAAAGCAGGUCAUAGUGAUCCGGUGGUUCUGAAUGGAAGGGCCAUCGCUCAACGGAUAAAAGGUACUCCGGGGAUAACAGGCUGAUACCGCCCAAGAGUUCAUAUCGACGGCGGUGUUUGGCACCUCGAUGUCGGCUCAUCACAUCCUGGGGCUGAAGUAGGUCCCAAGGGUAUGGCUGUUCGCCAUUUAAAGUGGUACGCGAGCUGGGUUUAGAACGUCGUGAGACAGUUCGGUCCCUAUCUGCCGUGGGCGCUGGAGAACUGAGGGGGGCUGCUCCUAGUACGAGAGGACCGGAGUGGACGCAUCACUGGUGUUCGGGUUGUCAUGCCAAUGGCACUGCCCGGUAGCUAAAUGCGGAAGAGAUAAGUGCUGAAAGCAUCUAAGCACGAAACUUGCCCCGAGAUGAGUUCUCCCUGAGACUUAGAGUCUCCUGAAGGAACGUUGAAGACGACGACGUUGAUAGGCCGGGUGUGUAAGCGCAGCGAUGCGUUGAGCUAACCGGUACUAAUGAACCGUGAGGCUUAACCUUACAACGCCGAAG